rnacentral:rRNA from 1 species
GAUGAACGCUGGCGGCGUGCUUAACACAUGCAAGUCGAACGGAAAGGCUCCUGCUUGCAGGGGUACUCGAGUGGCGAACGGGUGAGUAACACGUGGGUGAUCUGCCCUGCACUUCGGGAUAAGCCUGGGAAACUGGGUCUAAUACCGGAUAGGACGAUGGUUUGGAUGCCAUUGUGGAAAGUUUUUCGGUGUGGGAUGAGCUCGCGGCCUAUCAGCUUGUUGGUGGGGUAAUGGCCUACCAAGGCGUCGACGGGUAGCCGGCCUGAGAGGGUGUACGGCCACAUUGGGACUGAGAUACGGCCCAGGCUCCUACGGGAGGCAGCAGUGGGGAAUAUUGCACAAUGGGCGCAAGCCUGAUGCAGCGACGCCGCGUGGGGGAUGACGGCCUUCGGGUUGUAAACUCCUUUCGCUAGGGACGAAGCGCAAGUGACGGUACCUGGAGAAGAAGCACCGGCUAACUACGUG